CCUACGGGAGGCAGCAGUAGGGAAUAUUGGGCAAUGGGCGAGAGCCUGACCCAGCCAUGCCGCGUGCCGGAUGAAGGCCUUCUGGGUUGUAAACGGCUUUUCUCAGGGAAGAAAAAGCCCAUGCGUGGGACACUGACGGUACCUGAGGAAUAAGCACCGGCUAACUCCGUGCCAGCAGCCGCGGUAAUACGGAGGGUGCAAGCGUUGUCCGGAUUUAUUGGGUUUAAAGGGUGCGUAGGCGGCCCGUUAAGUCCGGGGUGAAAGCCCACAGCUCAACUGUGGAACUGCCCUGGAUACUGGCGGGCUUGAGUCCAGACGAGGUUGGCGGAAUGGAUGGUGUAGCGGUGAAAUGCAUAGAUACCAUCCAGAACCCCGAUUGCGUAGGCAGCUGACUAGGCUGGUACUGACGCUGAGGCACGAAAGCGUGGGGAGCGAACAGGAUUAGAUACCCUGGUAGUCCACGCCGUAAACGAUGGAUACUCGCUGGUGGCGAUAGACAGUCACUGGCUUAGCGAAAGCGGUAAGUAUCCACCUGGGGAGUACGCUCGCAAGAGUGAAACUCAAAUGAAUUGACGGCUGAGACGNGACGAGACGACGACGAGGAGGAGG
rnacentral:rRNA from 1 species